CUACACCACUCACAAUUUUGUUUAUUGUUUGCAAGUGGAUUUUCAACAUAUGCAACAAUUCAAAUAUAAGAUCCACAAAAUUUAGACGUAUCUAUAGUCGCGACGAGCUAGCUGAACAAAAGAAACUCAUUCAAUGGGAGAACGCAAUUAUCACAACAUACUUCGACACGGUUCAAAGGAAAGAUGAUGUUAAUGGGAUCUCCCGAAAAGAGUUUGAAAAAUUAUCAAAACACAUAACUGAUCUUCAAAAACAGGUACUGACGACGAAAAAGGAUCGUGAAGAUGCUUAUGAGAUAAGAAGUUAUGACUUAAAGAAACUUAGCCCAAGAAAAGACAAGUCAACAUAUAAAAGAAAAGAAGAGGAAGAAAUAAAAACAAUUGUGUGGCAUAUCAAUAGAGGAAGUGGCAAGGGCAGCGGCAAGGUAAGCGGCACGAGCAGCGGCAAAACGAGCGGCACGAGGAGCUGCAAGAGUAGGGGCAUAGGAAUCGGCAAGAAGGGCGGCAAGGGAAGGAAAGUGGCGCCUUUAAAAAAAGCAAAAACACAUAAACUGAAACAGAACAAAAAUUGAUAAAUAACUACCACACUGGAGCUGUAAUGUUUGGGGAGGAAGGCGCCAAUCUUGCGGUCACCAUAAUUUCUAAUUUGUUGAUUCAUAAAAGCGUCUAUUUACUUCUGUCUGUCUUCUUUUAACGUAGUGUAUAUACUGUUGGAUCUCGAAUAUUACUGAUAGCGUGACCAUCGUAAUACAUGUAGUCGAGACCGAGCUAUAAAAAAAUAAGAGUUUCACAAUAAAAUUAUAUAUGUUUAUCAAAUUAUUAUGGAUUUCCUUUUUUUAGAAAUCGGAGACAUCGUAAAGUACUAUUUUCGGUCCCCGGAAAUAACAUAACAUUUUAAAGUAUCAAGGGAAAAGUAUAUAAGACUUAAGUAGGCCUAUUUCAUUGCGUUAACUUAAUGAAAGGGUAUUAAAUUUCAGAAUAUUAGAAACCAGAAAAACAGUAAAAUACCAUUUUCAGUUAUCGAAGGUCAAUCAGAAUCGAGAGUAAAUCAAGUAUUAGACUUUAUAAUCAUAUAUGAAAUGUAUAUGAAUAUAAGUUUUUAUUUUUAUAAACGAAAUAUUAAUUAAACAGGAGACUUUUCCUGUUAGAAUGUACACACUGAAAUGAAGUAACAGUUUUAGUUAUUGAAAGUCAUUUAAAAGUUGAUAGAAAUCUGCACAUGUAAUCUAACUAGCUGAAUAGUCGUGCUUCGCCACGGUGAAUCAUUUUUAAAUGUACCACCUUCGAUACAGAAAAAAAUCAAAUACAAAAACAAAUGAAAACACAAACAUGAACGAAAAAGUAAACACAAAAGCAAACGCUAUUGCAAACACAAAUACAAACACAAACACAAAUGAAACAUAAAUGUUGAUAUCUUUGACCUGUCAAAAUAGUUUGUGCCUUUAAAUUUUCAACUACGAAUUUUCUCAUUUGAAAACUAUCCACUUUUAAUUUCGUGUGUUUUACAUUUUUGUUUUUUAAUGAGUCUUGAAACAUUUUUCUGAAGAGUACAUAUAUAUUUUAAUUGCUUCUAAGCAUUCUCCUUUAAAUAUGAUGUUCCUUACUUUCUACCUCGAGUUUGUCUUACUUAUUUUAUAUAGUAGAUUUCGUUUUUAUUAAUAAUUAUAUGACAUGGAACACAUUUAA